rnacentral:tRNA from 1 species
ACUAUUUUGGCAGAGUUUAUGCUCUAGAUUUAGGAUCUAGUUAGAUAGAGGUAGUUCUAUAAAUAGUA